GACGAACGCUGGCGGCGUGCUUAACACAUGCCAGUCGAACGGUGAAGCGCCUUCCUUUUUGGUGGGUGUGGAUGAGUGGCGAACGGGUGAGUAACACGUGAGUAACCUGCCCCCUUUUUCUGGAUAACCGCAUGAAAGUGUGGCUAAUACGGGAUAUUCUGGGUCUGUCGCAUGAUGGGUCUGGGAAAGAUAUUGUUUCGGUGGGGGCUGGGCUCGCGGCCUAUCAGCUUGUUGGUGGGGUGAUGGCCUACCAAGGCGGUGACGGGUAGCCGGCCUGAGAGGGUGGACGGUCACACUGGGACUGAGACACGGCCCAGACUCCUACGGGAGGCAGCAGUGGGGAAUAUUGCACAAUGGGCGCAAGCCUGAUGCAGCGACGCCGCGUGAGGGAUGGAGGCCUUCGGGUUGUGAACCUCUUUCGCCAGUGAAGCAGGCCUGCCUCGUUUGUGGGUGGGUUGACGGUAGCUGGAUAAGAAGCGCCGGCUAACUACGUG
rnacentral:rRNA from 1 species